GUCUAUGGCCAUGCAACCCAGAACAAGCCCUAUGUCUGAUCUUGGAAGCUAAGCAGAGUCGGGCAUGGUUAUUACUUGGAUGGGAGACCACCUAGGAAGACCAGCUGCUGUAGGCG
rnacentral:rRNA from 1 species